GCAGAUUCUAAACAAGAAUUUGAGAGGAAGGAGCUUGUUUGAGAGGUGUAGGAACAGCAAUAGUAGAUUCAAAAAAUGAUAUAAGGAAGGCAGCCUAUAAGUGUAUGUCAUUAAGCCAUAGUUGACAACUGGAGCUUAUUCCUACAAGACUCUAAGAAAUGGCAUAAAACACAAUUCAGAGUUGUUCCACACAAAGAGCAAGGGAGACCGUGAUCAGCUGCCAAAACAAAGGAAUAGAAAUGGAAGAGUUAGAGGUAGUGUUAUGCUAGAGCUGCCCCUCAGCGAGCUGAUUUUAAAGCUUGAAAUCGG
rnacentral:lncRNA from 1 species